UGGGCAACCUGCCCCUGGCUCUGGGAUAACUCCGGGAAACCGGAGCUAAUACCGGAUACGAGACCGAUUGGCAUCUUUACGGUCUGGAAAGUUUUUCGGCCAGGGAUGGGCUCGCGGCCUAUCAGCUUGUUGGUGAGGUAAUGGCUCACCAAGGCGACGACGGGUAGCCGGCCUGAGAGGGCGACCGGCCACACUGGGACUGAGACACGGCCCAGACUCCGUACGGGAGGCA
rnacentral:rRNA from 1 species